AGCAAUAUUAUACUCAAGAAUUUAGAUUGGUCAAUUCGUAUGAGUCCUGCAAUAUGGAGAGAAAUAGCAUUGUUACCUUCGCAUUGAAAAUGCCGGAAGGUUAUGUUUUGAUCGCUGUGUAUUUAUUUAUUUAUUUGUAUGCGUGUUAUUCGCAAAACUCAAAAAGUAUUGAACCGAAUCGCAUGAAAUUUGGUGGGAUGAUUGUUUAUUAUCCGGGGACCAGUUGAUUAGAUUUUGGGAUCGAUCGGGUCAAAGGUCAUGAACAGGUCAAAAUCUUUCGCAGAACUCAGAGUAUUGAACCGAAUCGCAUGAAAUUUGGUGGGAUGAUUGUUUAUUAUCCGGGGACCAGUUGAUUAGAUUUUGGGAUCGAUCAGGUCAAAGGUCAUGAACAGGUCAAAAUCUUUCGCAGAACUCAAAAAGUAUUGAACCGAAUCACAUGAAAUUUGGUGGGAUGAUUGUUUAUUAUCCGGGGACCAGUUGAUUAGAUUUUGGGAUCGAUCGGGUCAAAGGUCAAGGGUCAUGAACAGGUCAAAAUGUUCUUGAAUCGCAUGAAAUUUGGUGGGAUGAUUGGUUAUUAUCCGGGGACCAUUUGAUUAGAUUUUGGGAUCAAUCGGGUCAAAGGUCAAGGUCAUGGAAAGGUCAAACUCUUUUUUUACCAUAGCACGAUACAUUUUUGUCCAAUUGGCAUGCAACUAAUGCCAAAAUGUUCAUAAUUCAAUGCCCAAUCUUGUGAUAUGCGAAGGUAUGCACUCUACCGAGUGCCCAUUCUAGUUUUAAGUAUGCUUAGCUGUUAUACGGCAUUCAACAGCAUAGUGACACACAGGCUGCCAGUGUAUGUCUUCAGAUCUCUCAGUAAAGGGUGGCACCUUUAACCUUACCUGCCAGUUUCCUAUAGCCUGCUCAGUUGUUCUAGGCGCAUGAACGUUGUGUGAAAGAGAAUUAAAAUGUCACCAUAUUCUACUGGAUUAUUUUUAAUUCAGCAGUUUGCGAUUUAUAAUCAAUAUAUAUAUAUUGUGACGACCUCUGCCUCACUGUCUCUGCUGGGGUGUGGGUGGGUGUGUGUGUGCUUCUCUCUCCCUGAUUGGCUCCAGGUGCAGCCUCUCCCCAGGUGCUCUCAAUCCAAUCAGGAUCUCCAUAAAGGACCUGAGGAGGGCUGCAGUGUCGCUCUCUCUGGCCGGAGGAUGUAGGACGAGGAGCAGCCAGGAACAGCUGACCUCCGGCCUAUGAAUUGUGUUUCCGCCGGUGUUGUUAUCCUGUAGCGGUGGAAUAAAACUUCUCUUUUUCCUACUCGC